rnacentral:rRNA from 1 species
UACGUAGGGGGCAAGCGUUGUCCGGAUUUAUUGGGCGUAAAGAGCGUGUAGGCGGUUUGGUAGGUCCGCUGUGAAAACUCGAGGCUCAACCUCGAGACGCCGGUGGAAACCAUCAGACUAGAGUCCGGAAGAGGAGAGUGGAAUUCCGUGGUGUAGGCGGUGAAAUGCGCAGAUAUCAGGAAGAACACCCGUGGCUAAGGCGGCUCUCUAGUACGGUACUGACGCUGAGACGCGAAAGCGUGGGGAGCGAACAGGG